CAGAUUUUAUUUAUUUAUUCAUGAGAGACACACAGAGAGAGGCAGAGACACAGGCAGAGGGAGAAGCAGGGAGCCUGAUGCAGGACCCCAUCCCAGGACCCCAGGAUCAAGACCUGAGCCAAAGGCUGAUGCUCAACCGCUGAGCCCACCCAGGGGCCCCGAUUUUCUGCAGAAUGAUGUUUAUGAGACUAACCAAACUACCUUCCAGAUGACUUCUAUCUACCACAGUCUUCCUCCCCUGUGUAAGAGAAUGCAAGUAGAUGCUGAUGUUUGAAGCAAGAACGUUCAAGAAUUGCUGCCUGACUUUUAACCCAAGGAUUGGAAUGGUUAGGAAAUUGAGACCCGGGAAGAUGAAAGUGAUUUUCCUGAGCACAUACCUCAUUAUCCUUCUCAUCACAGCAGCAAACAGUGCUUGCCUCGUGCCAACUACUGAUCUAGCUGCUGCUGCUACUGAAUUUGAGGCAUGCCAUGCGCCACUUCUGCAGUGAUAGCUUUGUUUUUGCAAAGUGAAUGGAAUGGAGUUUGUGGGGAUGUAGAACGCAGGCACUGAGAAACCUACAUGAAUGUGUAAGAAUGACCACAAGGCACCAAACGUGGGUGUAUUUAUCUGCUUGUCUCAUUACUAAGAGGUUUUAGUUCUAAAAAAUAUCCGGAAGGAUUUAGCUUUGGGGAAGUGGGGAGGGAGAAGGAGUGGAAUGAGUUUUGAAAUUUUAAACAAUUUAUUUGAGCUUCCAACUGAUAUACUCCAAUUUCUUUACACCAGAAGCAGGGUUUCUUAAGGGACAGUUGAGAAAAGAUUUUACCACCAGUGUACAGAGACAUUAAAAAGUUGAUUUUACAAUUUAUUUAGUAUAUUAAUAAGAAGACAUUUCAUUGCAAGAAAAAUUGGAAACUGCCAAGUUUCAAUAUUAGUUAUUAAAACAGCAAUUAAGACGUUUUUGUGGUCCAGAAAUAUGUUUGUCUUGGUGACAUAUGCUGUGUUCCAUUUGCAGCCUAAUUAUGUUGAUGCAAUUCUAUCUGAUGUUCUACUCCUUAAAUAGGUCAUGUGGUUUCAUUGACAGAGGGUAAGUGAAGCUCCUUUUCAUUAAAAAAAAAAAAAUUUUUUUUUAAGUAGUCUCUGCACCCAGCUGGAGCCCAAUGCCAGGCCUGAGCUCACAACCCUGAGAUCAAGACCUGAACUAGGAUCAAGGGCCAUCCAGAUGCCCCUCCUUUUCAUUCUCUUUCAGAGACAGUGGAGAUACUCAGUUCUGGGGUCAGAUUACUUGGGUUAAAUCUACGUUCUGCCUCUAUCAAGUGUUAUAACUUUGGGCAAGUUAGUUAAUCUCUGUGUCUCAGUUUCCUUACCUGUAGUUGAGGAUGAUAAUAAUGUUACUUAUUUCUCACGGGGUUAUUUUGAAGAUUAAAAUGAAAGAAUUAUAGUACACCCAUAGUGAGAAAUCAAUAAAUGUAAUUUUUAAAAAUUUACAGAUAGUAAUAUUCACUUUUUUUAGGUGUAUAGUUCUAUGAGUUUUAUUACAUGUAUAGAUUAUUGUAGCUAUCCAUAUACCAACACAACAGGGUACAGAAUAAUUUCAGAAGAAUUCCCUUAUGCUCUCCCUAUGGUCAGAUACUAAUACCACCACCUCCUUCCCCAGAUCCCAGCCCUUGGUUACUACUUAUGUGUUUUCUGUCCUUAUAGUUUUGCUUUUUACAGAGUGUCAUAUAAAUGGAAUCAUACUGUAUAUAAUUUUUUGAGAUUAGCAUCUUUCACUUAGCAUAAUACCCUUGUGGUACAACCUGAUUUAUAAAGGAACUCCAGCUGGAAUUCAUCUGACUUCAUAGAAAAGGGAUUAGAUAAGAUUUUUUUCUUUUUUAAGGAUCAUUGAAGGGAAGAAAACACAUAGAUUAAUAUUAUACAAAAGGAGACUUUAGCCUAAUAUGAGAAAGGAAAUUUUCAUAGUUAUCAAAACAUCAAAUAUAAUGCUUCUUUAAGAGGAAAUUAUUUCCCUGUCAUUAAGUGUGUAGACAUAUUAGCUAAAGGGCCCUAAGGAAGGCCAGGUGAAGAAGAUGCAAGAGUCAUAUAUGAAUUAACCAGGAGAAAAGCGUUGAUGAUAGUGGUAUAUGGUGUUUUGUAUGUGGGGGCUCAGAGCAGGACAAGGCGUUGGAAGGUCACGAAUAAUCCCAAAUAAUCUGUAAAUGUAAUCAUAUUUGCUCCAUGCUUUGUGGGUGAGAGCUAACUGUUGUUGGGUGCAGGGGGAACUUGGACCCUUGUCACCUUGGCAGUUCAACUGCAUACAUGGGGAGGUUAGGCAGCAGCCAUCAUAGAAGAGGGAGAAGAGGUCAAAUCCUGACCUGGAUUGGAAGAGAGUGAUAGGGUGGGGGUGGUAAGACUGAAGGAAGGGGAGGAGCUGGACAAAGCUACAACUUUGCACUGCCUGUUUGAUGCCAGAGGCAACAAUUAUCAUGAUAAUUUAAAAAUACCAUGUAUAUUGCCCUAAUUUAUACAGAUGCAUGCACAUAUACAGUAUAGUAUUAUGUAUGAGAAUGUAUAUGUUUAACUUCAUCUUCAUUCUGCAAAUCAGUUAAAUCUCAAAAACCUGAAAGUUCACUGUACCAGCUAUGAUUUCCUGGCUUUGUCCUAGGGUAAUUGUGUGGAAUUUGAUUUAAUCCUUGAGCCAAUACUCUGUGGGAGAAACUAUCUUUUUCAUGUUCUAGAUGAGGAAGCUGAGGUUCAGAGAGGUGAAAUUACUUACCCAGAGAAAUAGAGGUAGUAAAUACAGAGCCAGAGCUUCUUCUCAGGAAUGUCCGUUUAUCUUCAGAGUUUGGUCAUUUGCCUUCAUUAUGCUGUUACAUAUUGAUGAGAAUGGUUGAAUUUUGGUCUUUUUGCUGCUUGGAAAUCCAUGAUCUGAUUUUGUUUUCUUUUUUUAAAGAUUUAUUUAUUAGAGAGAGAGAGAAAGCAUGUGCAAACAGGGGGAGUGGCAGAAGGGAAGAGAGAAAGAGAGAGAAUCUCAAGCAGACUCCCUGCUGAGUGCAGAGCCCAACUCGAAGUUUGAUCUGAUGACCUUGAGAUCAUGACCUGAGCCGAAAUCAAGAGCUGGUCCCUUAAUUGCCUGCACCACCUAGAUGCGCCUCUAAUUUUAAAUACAAGGGGAAACAAUCUGACAUUUUAAAGUAUACUCUGUAAUGAUACUUUGUGUUUGUUGUUAUUAUUAAUGGUGCUAAAACUUUAUAUCCAGUUACUACCUGAAUUUAGCAAGGAUUUCGGGCAAGAAGAGCUAAGCUUUUCUUCAUUCAGGAAAGGCCUUGGAAUGAGAGGACCUUGAGUUAAAAUUUUAGUUCAGUUCAUCAUAGCUGUGUGAUCUCUCUCAGCUUCGUGUUCUUUAGUGAAUUCAAAAUGAUAAUAAAAUGGUUAUUAUGUCAUUUAAAUGACAAAAUGGUUGGGCAAAUACUUGGCAUUGCUUGUCACAUGGUAGGUAUUUGCGAAAUUAGGAAAAAUAAUUCAGAAGCACUUCUAAUUUCAUGACUUAAGUAUAAGCAGAAAGGUUUAUUUGUUUGCACUGUAGUUAUUUUGCAGCUCUGGUUUGUGCUUGGUGGUUUUACAGGAAGAUGCACAGAACAAAUUUGUUUACAUUCAACUCAAUCUUAAUGCCUGUGAGUAUGAAUCUAGA